rnacentral:piRNA from 1 species
UAUGCACUUGAGUAAGCUAAC